GGAAAAUUAUUAAAUUGUGUGAAUAUGCUGCCAAGAACCCCCACCGAAUUCCAAAGAUUGCCAAGUAUCUUGAACAAAGGUGCUCAAAAGAAUUGAGGUCUGAGCAUAUCAAAUAUAUCAGUAUUAUCACAGAGGCAUACCAUAAACUGCUUUGCAUAUGAAAGGAGCAGAUGGCAUACUUCGCUCUCAAUCUACUGAUUGUUGUAAUUG